UGGUUCAGUGGUGACUACUGGUGUCGUGUGAGUCAUACGGUGAAUACGUGUCUGGAACUCUUGAGGUCCAU
rnacentral:snoRNA from 1 species